rnacentral:rRNA from 1 species
AUUGAGCGCUAGCGGGAUGCUUUACACAUGCAAGUCGAACGAGUGGCGGACGGGUGAGUAAUAUAUCGGCACGUGCCCAGUAGCGGGGGAUAACUACGCGAAAGAGUGGCUAAUACAGCCUCCUAUUGGAGCGGCCGAUAUGGGAUUAGGUAGUUGGUGGGGUAAAGGCUCACCAAGGCAACGAGGCGUAGCUGGUUUGAGAGGACGACCAGCCACAGUGGGGCUGAGACACGGACCAGACUCCUAAGUGAGGCAGCAGUGGGGAAUUUAGGACAAUGGGGGAAACCCUGAUCCAGCCAUCCCGCGUGUAUGAGAAGGCCUUCGGGUUGUAAAGUACUUUUGGCAGAGAAGCGGUAUCUGCAGAAUAAGCACCGGCUAACUACGUGCCAGCAGCCGCGGUAAUUC